GACGAACGCUGGCGGCGUGCCUAAUACAUGCAAGUCGAGCGGACAGAAGGGAGCUUGCUCCCGGAAGUUAGCGGCGGACGGGGGAGUAACACGUGGGCAACCUACCCUGUAGAUCGGGAUAACAUCGAGAAAUCGGUGCUAAUACCGGAUAAUCAUUUGAAGUGCAUGCUUCGAAUGUAAAAGAUGGCUCCGGCUAUCACUACGGGAUGGGCCCGCGGCGCAUUAGCUAGUUGGUAAGGUAAUGGCUUACCAAGGCAACGAUGCGUAGCCGACCUGAGAGGGUGAUCGGCCACACUGGGACUGAGAAACGGCCCAGACUCCUACGGGAGGCAGCAGUAGGGAAUCUUCCGCAAUGGACGAAAGUCUGACGGAGCAACGCCGCGUGAGUGAUGAAGGUUUUCGGAUCGUAAAGCUCUGUUGUUAGGGAAGAACAAGUGCCGUUUGAAUAAGGCGGCACCUUGACGGUACCUAACCAGAAAGCCACGGCUAACUACGUGCCAGCAGCCGCAGUAAAAC
rnacentral:rRNA from 1 species